rnacentral:lncRNA from 1 species
AUUGCUUUCAAGUAGUAUUAAGCACCGUGUGUUAAUAGAUUCAGGCUACUGAUUAAAAAAAUAACUGCACAAAAAUCUAAUUGCUGCAACCGGCAAGUAUUGUGGUAUUAGUGCAUUAUAGUUGGUUAUUGCAAUUUUAACAGCAGUUGUAAUUAUAACUUGCUAUUUGAUGUAUUUUGUUGAAAUAGGAGAAAAAAGAAAGAUGCCAAUAUUUUGGAGAUCCCGUCAAUUCCAAAUCCUUUUCCUGAGCUGUGUUGCUCUCCAUUUGCAUCAGUUUUGUCAGCCAGCCUGUUGCCCAAGGCAACUUCAAGAAAAAAACAGAAGGUUUUAACGGUCAGCAAGCAGCUGCUUUUAUGUGAAGAUCUAAUUUUGCUAGUACAGUUGAAGAAAAAAGAAAUUAWUGGGUAAGGAGCAGAUGCUGUAUUUUGUAUGCAUGUGUGUAUAUAGG